UACGGGGGGGGCAAGCGUUGUUCGGAAUUACUGGGCGUAAAGGGCUCGUAGGUGGCCAACUAAGUCAUACGUGAAAUCCCUCGGCUUAACCGGGGAACUGCGCCUGAUACUGGUUGGCUUGAGUUUGGGAGAGGGACGCGGAAUUCCAGGUGUAGCGGUGAAAUGCGUAGAUAUCGGGAGGAACACCAGUGGCGAAGGCGACUUCCUGGCCUGUUCUUGACGCUGAGGCGCGAAAGCUAGGGGAGCAAACGGG
rnacentral:rRNA from 1 species